UACAGAGGUCUCAAGCGUUGUUCGGAUUCAUUGGGCGUAAAGGGUGCGUAGGCGGCGCGGUAAGUCGGGUGUGAAAUCUCGGGAGCUUAACUCCGAAACUGCAUUCGAGUCUGGCGUGCUUGAGGACUGGAGAGGAGACUGGAAUUCACGGUGUAGCAGUGAAAUGCGUAGAGAUCGGUGAGGAAGACCAGUGGCGAAGGCGGGUCUCUGGACAGUUCCUGACACUGAGGCACGAAGCCAGGGGAGCAAACGGG
rnacentral:rRNA from 1 species